GUGAAUCAUCGAAUUUUUGAACGCAAAUUGCACUCUCUGGUAUUCCGGGGAGUAUUCCUGUUUGAGGGUCGUUAGAAUAAAAAAUCGAUGUGUUUCUCUGUUUUUUACGGGUGAUCGCGUCGGAAUUGAGCUGUUUUUCAAUUGUUAAUUCAUGACAAAGUCGCUUGAAAUUCAUCCAUCCGGUACGAAUGAAGUGUAUCUAAGAUCAAUUCUGACUGAG
rnacentral:misc_RNA from 1 species